rnacentral:rRNA from 1 species
CCUACGGGAGGCAGCAGUGAGGAAUAUUGGUCAAUGGACGAGAGUCUGAACCAGCCAAGUAGCGUGAAGGAUGACUGCCCUAUGGGUUGUAAACUUCUUUUAUAUGGGAAUAAAACGUUCCACGUGUGGGAUUUUGUAUGUACCAUAUGAAUAAGGAUCGGCUAACUCCGUGCCAGCAGCCGCGGUAAUACGGAGGAUCCGAGCGUUAUCCGAAUUUAUUGGGUUUAAAGGGAGCGUAGGUGGAUUGUUAAGUCAGUUGUGAAAGUUUGCGGCUCAACCGUAAAAUUGCAGUUGAAACUGGCAGUCUUGAGUACAGUAGAGGUGGGCGGAAUUCGUGGUGUAGCGGUGAAAUGCUUAGAUAUCACGAAGAACUCCGAUUGCGAAGGCAGUUCACUGGACUGCAACUGACACUGAGGCUCGAAAGUGUGGGUAUCAAACAGGAUUAGAUACCCCAGUAGUC